UUGUCUCAAAGAUUAAGCCAUGCAUGUCUAAGUAUAAGCACUUGUACUGUGAAACUGCGAAUGGCUCAUUAAAUCAGUUAUCGUUUAUUUGAUUGUACCUUUUACUACUUGGAUAACCGUGGUAAUUCUAGAGCUAAUACAUGCGAAAAGUCCCGACUUCUGGAAGGGAUGUAUUUAUUAGAUUCAAAACCAAUGCGGGUUCUGCCCGGUUCUUUGGUGAUUCAUAAUAACUGUUCGAAUCGCACGGCCUUGCGCUGGCGAUGUUUCAUUCAAAUUUCUGCCCUAUCAACUGUCGAUGGUAAGGUAUUGGCUUACCAUGGUUACAACGGGUGACGGAGAAUUAGGGUUCGAUUCCGGAGAGGGAGCCUGAGAAACGGCUACCACAUCCAAGGAAGGCAGCAGGCCA
rnacentral:rRNA from 1 species